GAUGAACGCUGGCGGCGUGCCUAAUACAUGCAAGUCGAGCGAACAGACGAGGAGCUUGCUCCUCUGACGUUAGCGGCGGACGGGUGAGUAACACGUGGAUAACCUACCUAUAAGACUGGGAUAACUUCGGGAAACCGGAGCUAAUACCGGAUAAUAUAUUGAACCGCAUGGUUCAAUAGUGAAAGACGGUUUUGCUGUCACUUAUAGAUGGAUCCGCGCCGCAUUAGCUAGUUGGUAAGGUAACGGCUUACCAAGGCAACGAUGCGUAGCCGACCUGAGAGAGGGAUCGGCGACACUGGAACUGAGACACGGUCCAGACUCCUACGGGAGGAAGCAGUAGGGAAUCUUCCGCAAAGGGCGAAAGCCUGACGGAGCAACGCCGCGUGAGUGAUGAAGGUCUUCGGAUCGUAAAACUCUGUUAUUAGGGAAGAACAAAUGUGUAAGUAACUAUGCACGUAUUGACGGUACCUAAUCAGAAAGCCACGGCUAACUACGUG
rnacentral:rRNA from 1 species